AUGGGCCAGAUGCAAGUCAGACUAGCCGUACCAGCGUUGCUCUGUCCAAAGCGCAGCUCCGCCUCGCCCCUGCUCCCCGCAGCUCCCGCGCGGGCGUCCUCUGCUUGGCGCCGCCUUUGCUUCAGCCGGACCGCCCCGUAUCCUCCCGCGCGUGGCUCCGCAACCACGCGCCUGCGCCGGUCCGCCCGCAGCUCGUCUGCCUUCGCGCGCCUCCUCCGUCGUGCGUCGCCCGCGCCUGGCCGCCUCCGCGUUCCUGCGCCAGCUCCUCGUCACCUGGUGCGCCGCCCAGUCGGCUUCCUGCAGACUGGCCAUCUCACCCGCAGGGCCCGUGGCCGGCUGCUCGGCUCCGCCAGCCGCCUGCCGAGUCCGCCACGCCGGUUGCUCCGCCUCCCCGCCUGCCGGUUGCGCUCGCCUGUGUCCGCCUGCUCCACUCGGGGUCGCCGUCUCCGCUCCGCCCUGGCCGCUGGGCCGGCUCCCGCGCCUGUUCACGACCCGUCGCGGGCCGCCGCUCCACAGCUGGCCUCUCUUGCAGCACCAGCCCACCAGCCGCUGCCGUGCUCGGCCUGCUCAUCGCACCUCCACGCCUCCGCGGCUGCUGCGCCGCCCCGCGCCGGCUUCUCCGCCGCGCCCUCGCGUCGCGGGACGGACCGCCGGAGCCCCGUCUCCUGCGUCGUCCGCGGCUGCAUGCGCUGCGCCCGCGACCGCGUCCGCGUUGGGUCGCCCCCGACCCCGUCCGGAGUCCCGCGACUCGUCCACGCCGGCAUGCGCCAGCAUCCGGCUCCGCGUUGGCCAUCAACGCAGCGCCCGCCCGGCCUCGUCGACACGCCUCCGGCCGCCUCCCCAUACCGGCCCCGUUGGCCUCCCGAGCCCCUGCCGGGUCGCCGCGCCUCCCGUCGCGCCUGCCGGCCUCGGGAGUGCUUGGUUGCCGGGUCACCGUCCGGCUACUCCUCCGACCGGCUUCCUCCCCGCCGUGUCGGUGGCCCUGCCGGGUCGCCCGCCUCGCCCCUGCCGGGUCCGCGAGCGCCGCCUCCGCCGUCUCGUCCUCCCGCGCGCUGGUCGCUCCCGCUCCCAGGCCUCCUUCGCGGCUUUGGUUCGGCGCCCGCCUGCCGGCCUCGCCUCCGACCCGGCCGCUUGCAGGCUCCCCGCAAGCCGGCUGCCCGUCACCUCUCCUCCGCGCGCCUUGCCCGCGGCCGGGUCACCCGAUCGCCGACUCGCCCAGCCGGCUUCCCGCACGCCGGCUGGCCGGGUCGCCGCCGCGCCCGCCGGCUUCCGCUCCCCCGCGGCCGGGUCGCCCGCUGCCGGGUCGCCGCCAGCCGGCCCCGCACGCGCGCGGGCUCCCCCUUUGUCCUGCUGCUCGGGCAUAAGGGCAUGCCCAACGGUUAG
rnacentral:rRNA from 1 species